GUGGAGGGGGGACAUAUACAAAAACAACAUUUCGUGUACAGACGAGAUAAAGAUUAAUAUGUGAGACACAAACAAUUAUAAUUUAUUAUUUUAUAUAAGAAGAGUGCAUCGAUGCUAUAUCGAUUCGUUUUAUACUUAACCCCGAGACCCGGUAUAGCGGCGGUAUAGACCUAGAGAGCGUGCAGAGUACCUUACAUGAGUAAUAAAGGGAUAGUAUUAUAAUUGUAUCUCCGGUACAAUUGUGGUAACCGGUUAGCAGUACAGACGCAAUAUGACAAACAAGUUUUUCGUAGCUACCGUUUUGUGUGUGAUACACAAAGUGACGUGUGUCCGAAACACAGGUGGCGGACGGUCGCAGGAUACACGUGGAAGCCAGACAACCAGACGGCCAGACAAUCGGUCCGUUUCCCAGCCGAUCUUAUUACAUAUUUUAUUAUGAUGAUGGUGGUGUCUAUUUUUUUUUUAAAUGUAAUAUAUAUACAGGGUGUAGAUUAAUUAAGUAACUCUCGUUAGUCCCAGAUUAUAAUACACGGUCAUAUUAUAUUGGGUAAACAAAUUAGAAACAUAAUUUCAGUUUUGCGUAACUGUCUCGAUCAUAAAAUGUUCGUUAAACAUUGCACGCGACUUUUUGCGAAAAUCCUAUCCAAACUAAAAUAAUUUUAAUGAUAGGAAAUGAUGUUGGUUACGGGUAUCCAUUAUUUUAGUGUAGUGCGUACCUAUGGUUUUGCGAAAAAUCACUUGUUAGGUUAGUUUAUUUAUAAGAUUUGGGUUAGUAUAUCAUAUGAUAACGUGUAAACAAUUAGAUUUCAUAAGGUCGCGAGUAAUGGUAAAACUCUGAAAAAAGUGAUUUGCUUCUUCUAUCAUGCAAAACGUGUUACUCAGUUCAGUUACACCCUCUACAUAUGCGUAUGUUAUGUACGUACCUACCAUUUCCCAGUAUGGUACACACAAGACACUUCAUAUUUUAUAUAAUAUAGAUUAUACAGCAUUGUAAAUAUAAACAAUAUAUAUAUAUGAUUUUGGAAGUGAUUUAGAACCGUGUCGAUUCUGACCUCUCGGGGUUUUUUUUUUUUUAAAUAUUUACGGGCACAAUACCAUUUAAAAGCGACUGUUCAAUUAUAAAACCAUUCUGUAAUUCGAUAUAUAAUGUUUUGUUCCGUGUAACGAGUUUCAAAAGUUUUUCCUUACAGUACAAUAACGUUCGAAGAAAGAAGAAGGAAAUUCAUUUUUAUUUUAUUUAAUACAAGACAUUUUAUAUCUCUGCGAUUCCUUUCUCCGAACAACCCCCUCCCCUUCCCCCAUCAUCUACACGCUCGUAUAUUAUUUUACUUGAAUACAAUGCGUUUGAGCACGAAUGCGUAUUUAAUUUUAAAUAUAAUAUAUACUAUAUACGUAUACACGAAGUCUAAACGAAAACCAGUGAUUCUUCAAAGGACAAAUAUUGCAUUUUUCUAGGGCGCGUACAGUAAAAACACCGUAAACAUUUGCAUAAAAAUGCUAGGGAAAAAUAUAUAAGAAUAUAAAUGUAAAUGUAUUUUUUUUUUCACAAACCAUAGUGCAUCGCCUGAAGUAUUACCUUAAUAACAUAUAGUCGGAUUUGCUGUGCCAAUAAAAUUGUUUUUGUUUUCGUCUGCAGUCGUUACCUGUUUUUGGCAAAAGUUUAAUACUGCGAUUUGUUUUUGUUAUCAAAUUAUCACCUAACCGCGAGAAGUGCGAAAGAAAAAUAUUAUUACCUUUGACAUAAAAAUAAAAUAUCGUAUAUUAUAAUAUACUAGCCGUCGGUUACAAAUAAAUUCCAAAAAAUCUACUGCAAAAUACCUAUGUUUGCACUAUCGAGACAAAUUAUACCUAGUUGAAUUUAUUAAAAAAAGAUAAAAUACCAAAAAUCGAUCCAGAAAAAGAUGGCUUGAAACGAAAUCAUCUAGAUAUUAGAUAAUGAAAGAUAGUCAAAAAUAAAUUAUAAUCCAUUUAUUACUUGAAAUCAAUAAUAAUUUAAUUUCAUAAAUUUAGUAGCUAUUAAAAAUAUAUAAAUAUAAAAUUGUCAAUCUAAUGUACUAUGUAUAUUAACAUCGGUAACAUUUGUUAUAAUAAGUUCAUUUUACUUGGGUAUAGGUACCUACUUACAUAAAAUAUUAUUUUUCCGGGGCCCUCGUGCAUGAUGAUUUUUAAAAAUUAUUGUAACAUGUGGAAACAAAUAUGUAAUUGGCUUUAUUGCAAAUAAGUUCAGACAUAUUUCUUGAUGAUAACGAAAACCCGAUCGCUUGUGUGCACCCGUCUAAAAUCCUGCAAUCUACCCGACAUGAUUUUUCAUCUACUAGGAUACUAGUGAGGGUAAUAGGUUUACACGGUUUAGGAUACUAUAACUUAUUGUUGUUAGCAGUAUUGGCAGUUUUGGAUCGACCGACGGUUGGUUUGUAGGUUUUCGACACUGGUCGGCAUCAUUUAAUAUUUUUAUUUCGCCUCGCACGGUUUCGAGAAAAAUUCCUCGAUUCACGAGCCGUUAUAUUAAACACAGUGACGACCACUUUAUAUGCUCCGUAUAAGUACAGGUUUUACAUUCCACCGUGACGCUUAUUGAAAUCGAUCGGAUUACGUCAACGCGUGUUAUUGAAAACUGAUCACUUAGUUGUUUUAUCCUCUACUCGAUCGAUAUUUAUUUUUUAACCGGAGCAUAUUUACACCUCAAAUGGCACCUCAAUUUCCCCGCGUAUUAAAGGAUAAAAACGUAGUAAAAAAAAAAAAUUGCUGGUCAAAACAAUGAUAAUUCGGAGCUCUUACCCUCAUUGAAAUUUCGCUUUCUUCGCGUUGCGGCCUCGGUCGUUUCCGACGCGGUCACACACACACACGUGUUUAUAAUUUUUUUUUUUUCUCGGACCGCGGCCUCUUUGACCGCAACGUUAUUUUUAUAGGUUACUGCGUAUACACGAGGUACAAUACGUAUUAUUAUAUAGUCUUCGUUAUCGUUUUUUAAUUUUCUUGCGAGAUCGUCGAAAGGUUAUCGCCGUCGUCGCCGUCGUCGUCUCUCUGUUACAAAUCGUUUCCACGUUAUUUUCUAAGCGAAAUUUAUACGUUUUUUUUUCCUUUGCCGCGGUCACAUUGGAACUCGUAGUUACGUUCGAACGCACGUACAUAAUAUUGUCGUACGCGCGCAUACGUUUGUAGUCGUAGCGAUUUGUUUUAUUAUUGUUUUUUUUUUUCCUUCUGGUCGUAAAUAACGGGUCGUCGUAGUCGUCGCGACGGCAGCGUCAACGGUUCUGUCGCGAGCCGAUUAAAAAUCCAUUAAAACCUCAGAGGCGCGGCCAGUUUGGCCCGGCUCGCCGCGGCGGCGGCCCGACGACUUUUUCCCCGUCGCGCGUACACAAAACUCGCGCCCGGUCGCCCGUGUACGCGUUCGUCGGGACCGCGUGUGUAAUAUCCGUCCACGGUCCCCGGGCUCAUCGAUCGUUUUUCGCGGACGUUCGCGAUUCGCUAGCGAGGGCGCGCGCGCGAUUUAACGAAAAUUAAUACACGGCGACGGCAAACGUCGUCGACGGGGGUCGCAAAUCGCGGGCGUCGGCUUAAAAGCCAAAUCCGUCGUUAAACAACACGCCUCGUCGUCCUAAUUAACGGCGUGGGUGACAACCGGCCACCGGGGCCCCUCUAAACGAAAGGUUUUUGACGGACACUCUCGGAACGCGCCACCGUCGCGCUAAUCGCACCGCCCGAAAGGGUGCGCGCGUUUAAACGAUCAAUGAUAAAUAAAAUUGUCCCGCGAACUCGGACCGCGAGUUUUCUAUUCGAACCGAGGCAUAUCACAAGGGCGUCGUGUCAGUUUUUCUGUAAGUAUGGGCACGUUUAAAUUGGGCAGAAUUUUUGAAAAUAUUCCGCUCACCCCUAUUCUUAUUCACACUUUACAUUAAAAUAUUAAAAUACUACAUUUGUUGACAUUAUACAACAACAUUGAUACUAAACUACUACGUGAGUUUCGACACGCAUUAUUAUCUUGCUAACGUGCCUGUUUAUUUGAAUAUCAAAUAACCAUGGUAAAAAUUCCCUAUUUCCCAUUCUCACAUUGCAGAUGGAAACAAGUUUUUUGUCUAAAUUCUAAGUCUAUACAAAUAUUUUUAAAUGAACCACACAAAAAAAAAAUCUGAUACUGGGGAUAGGUGCGGCCACUGCUGUAGAUGAGUAGUGAGAAAGGUGGGAUACAUAAAGUUAUUUAAUUUAUACCUGUAACCAACGAUAAACCAUUGCUGACGAAAGACGAUUCCGAGCGCAGUUUGAUAAUAAAUAAUUUGAAGUGCCGCAAUUUUUUUGCUAUUUUCGUUUAAAUUUGAUUUCAAAACGCUUAUUAACAAAAUAAAAUUCACCAAAAAUAUGGUCUCUUGUUGCUGAGGAAAAAAAGACACUAAGUUAUAUCAUCCCUUCAAACUUCUCUUAUUGACAGUAUCAACUUUUUUUUAUACUUCUGAUGAUAAUAUAAUAAAUAUAAUUUUAGCUAAAAUUAUCAAUAUUGUGUCAAAGUUUUGAUAUACAGUAUUUAAUGGUGCAAUUUAUACAACGAAAUGUGAACAUUCUGUUAAUAACAGUUUAUUCUGUUUAUUAAUUUUUUUAACUGAAUUACAAAAAUUUCGUCUUCUUCUGGUUUUUACGAAACAUUAUGAAAUCAAAAAAUGACUUGCGCUAUAAAAAAAAGAUGUACAACGAAACAAAAAGGUUUCUUAUAAUUUUUCGAUCAAAGCAUUUUUCCGAAUAAUAAAAGUUUUCCGUGAUAAUAUAAAAUAAUAAUAUUGGGAAAUUAUACGUUUUUCCUACUUUUUCCUCUUUAUUAUAAAAACUAAUUCGGAAAAAAAAAAAAACUAACUGCAUCAUUAAAAACAAGAUUAAUAAUUAAACAAAAAAAAGUCUUUUGUCGUUUUUCAAUUGGACCCAUAUUUGUGCUAGAAAACAUGGUAGAUACGUAUUUUUUCCCGGUUAAUCGUUUUUAUUUUGAACACCGUUUCGAAAAUCAAAAAAUGACCUAUGUAUUUACCAAGUAAAUUAAAUUGAAUUUCAGAAAAGGUGUUACAUUUAUACAUCAGAGAAGGUUUUCAAGGAUAAAAGUGGUCUACAGUAUAUAAAAAAAAAUAAAGUAUCAUUUUCAAAAAAUUUAAAAAAAAUUAUCCGAUAAUUUUGGAAAUUUUAUUACGUUUAGGUACGUUGAAUAUACGUAUUAUUACCAAGUUUCAAGUCUCUACGUGUAUUUAUAGCUGAAAAACAGCAAAAAAACUCCCAAAAAUUAAAAUUCUUUUAAAGCUCAAUUGUGGCUCAAAAGUUUUGGCAACUACACCGUUAGUAACUAAAUCAAAACGGAAACAAAUAAAGGUGUCUUGUGAUUUUUCGGUUCAAUCAUUUAUUCUGGUAGAAAACGUCGUCCGUGUUUUUAUAAAAUAAUGAAAUCGUGAAAUUGUACGUUUUGCUAUGUUUUCCGGCUUAAGUAUUUUUAUUUAAAAAAUGGCAUCGAAUAUCAAAAAAUAUUUUUUUUAAAGAACAAUCUAGACAACUUGAGCUUUCAGAAAAGUUGCAGUUCGUAAAGAUCAGAGCAAAUAUACUACGAAAAAACAUGUCCACAGUCUAGAACAAAGAACAAAGAAGAAGAAAAAAUAAACAACAUAGUAAAACCAAUACUCCCUCGCUACGCUCGGAAUCUAAUAAUACGUUUUGUAUAUUUUUCCGUUUUUCUUACGUUUUAUCCAAUUAUGAUAAAAACCGAUAAAAGAAUCAAAUUUUAAUCGUUUUAAAGGAUCAGCCACAUAUAAUUUCACUUGAAAAUCGGAGCAAGAUGUCUGAUAAAGUAGUUGAUAACAGAUAGAGAAAAAAAAUUAAAAAAACACUGUCUAACCGAUAUGGUUUGCUUCGCUCAAAAUCUAAAAUAAAUUAAUAACAAUAAUACAAUAUUCUCUGGUAAUUAGCGUGAAGAAGAAACAAAUACAUCAUAUGUAUAUAUAUUAUAAUUAUAUAAUAUUAUAUAAAAUUACUUAUUUACUUAAAAGUUCGGUGACCAAAUAAUCGGGCAAAAUAAUUGUGUUAAAAUAACAAGGUAAUUAAAUUGUGAUGAGAAGCAAUAUCAAACCAUCAUCUGCUCUGAUUGGUCAUUUUUAACUCUUUUCUAAUACGUGAAGGAGCAGGGUUGUCAUCACCAAAUUUCACCAAAAUCACUCUCCUAUACACGAAAUAAAAUGAGGGGUACAGUACUCGAUCGAAAUUAUUCAACUUAUUUCUUUCAUCAAUAAAAAAUAAAGAAUACUCUACUGUUUUGGGCCGCACACAUGGCUCGAAUAUAUUAUAAUAUUGGCGGUUCACCGGGUGUCGAGCCGUUGAAAGUUGAUAGAAUUUCGUGAAUUAUACGUAAAAUUGGGUAAAUGGUAAAUGACUUUAUUCUACGUAUACGAUCAUUAGAAACAUAAAAUAUAAAAACAAUUAAAAUCAGAGAAUAGUUGCGCGUUCCAUCCUUUAAUUCGUUCUUUUUAAUAUUGAUUUUUGUUUCUUUAUAAAGAAAAUUACACCGUACAAAAAAAAAAAAAUGUAAACUAGUUAAGUAUUCUCACGAGGUGGGAUGGGGUUGGGUUGUUAUUGUUUUAUACUAUUUGAACUGUCAAAAAAAUUUUCUCGAGCCACCUCUGGUAUAGGGCCGUAUGAAUUUAAAAUACUAACUCCUUUUCCUCCAAAAAAAUAAUCACCUGUAAAAAAAAACAACUAAAAUAUGCGGUCAAAUGCAAUCGUUUAUAAAAAUAUUAUAUCGGUAAUGUUUUCUUUGUCAUGUUAUAUGCUUAUAAAAAAAUUUGAAAAAAGCCGUUGUUUUCAUAUUUUACACACACGACAACGAUUUAAUUUGCUGGAAAAGUUUUUUUUUCUGGAUAAAUAAUGUUAAAAAACAAAAACAAAACCGAAAGAUAACUGAAAAUAAAAUAUGCAAAUCUCGUAAUAGAGUAUGUGUAUAAUAUAUUAUAUAGACAUAAAAAAAUAUAACACAACGGUUUAAAAUAGGAGAAGAUUUCAGCUUUUGAAAAACUGUACAAUUUUUCAUUUUUAAAAAAAAAAAAAAAACACGUUGAUAAAUCACUGAUGGAACCCUACUUUCAUACUUCGACUGAUGAGUAGGUAUUCUGCGGUUGAUUGUUGCACUUGAAUUUCGUAAGUUUUGUUUUUCCUCCCUUUAAUUUCUACGGGUUUCCUUGGUUACUGCUACCCGGUCCCGUUAUAACUGCUUAAUGCCAUCGUCACCUUUCCCGUAUACUGGAUGUCAAAUGAAAGACGUUGCGACAGGAAGAAACAAUCACUAUGGGUACCUACUGCAACAAGGCCGUGCAGUUUUAAUAAUAUAUAGCGACUCGAGAUUCACUCCUUGCGCGAGUUCACACGGGUCUUUGUAUAAUAUAUUAUACGUGCAUAAAGUCUGAGACACCGUAUACCUACACACCUACUAACCGUACACUACCUACUUAUCGUGUACAUAAUUGAAACGUUCGAACUUUGACGGCGCGGAAUUUGUCCCUAUGAAAUUAUAAAGUAUAAACUUAUAGACGUUAAAAAGUAGAAGAAAAAAAAACCUACCCGAGAGACGUGGACGCUCCCGUUUUGUUUUCGUAACAAAUAUUAUGUCGGCAACAACUGUGCCGAGUAUCGGAGAGGAUAAAUUAUUACUGUUCCGAGAUCUAUACAUAUUUUACGCUUUGAACACUAUCUUGGACAAAUAAUUAAGUGUAGGUACCUAUAUAUAUAUGUGUGUGCAUACACAAAGAACCUUCAGAACUUACAAGUUAUUGCGCUAAAAUCGUCGGAAAUACGUACCGUACGUAAUUACUGCAAUAAUAAUUAAGUUCAACGUUUUUAGGUGAAAGGAAAUAACAUUUAUUUACAGACAAACAACGCAGACGCAUAAUAUUACACAGGAAAACACACGUAUCAUAAUGUUAAUUGGUAUAUCUAUUUCUUUAUCAGCCGCGUCUAGCCCGAUAUUAUAUUUUUGUCCGUAGAAAUCUUGAAAUCUCGAAGUCACGAUUGCGCAAUGCGGAUUUAAAAUCCGAUAUUGUUACACUAUAAACUGCAUUAUGCUAAAUUCUGAAUAUAAAAUUCUUAUUUGCGCGAGGCCUUUCAGAAGCGCCACACCCAAAUGUUACGCCAUGUACAAACGUCCAGUAUACCUUGCCACUGCGUAUGUAUUGUAAUACAUAUUGCGUAAUAUCCUCGAUAAUUAUUAUUCGUAUCAAUAACGGGUGUUUUUCAAAACACCCGUGAGCAGCUGGGCUCCGACACUAGAGGCAAAUUUCUCAUCCCCACCUAUUUUGUAAAUAGAAAUAUUUGUUGAAAAUCAACCUCUAUAUCUACUAUAUAUUUCUUGUAUACUAUACUUCUAUGAAAUAUUGAAAUUUUAUCAUAUAAAUGGCAGCGGUUAAAGUUGAAAACCUGAAAAGACAAAUUCUAGCUGCGUUCUAAUACUAUGCGUAUUAAACAUUUCAUUGCCUUGAAUUUAUUUAGGGAGACUGUAGGUAUUUACCAAGCUAAAACAACACUUUCCAUCCGUAAGAAAAAACAUGGUUCAAUUCAUAUUGAAACUCAACCAAACUUUCAUUACCCUUUUAUACACCUUAAAAACAACUUUAAUUCUCGAGUUUGAGCUUAUUUGAUACAGAGGUAGUUACUAGAAAUGACAAAAAGUAGCGGGAAAAAAUAAAUAAAUAUGAUCAUCAUACAAUUGUCUCUAUUUAUAAGAAAAAUUCUACAUAAUUCGACAUUACUUAUAAUAUUAUGAUUAUUCGUUUUUAAUAUGGUUCUCAUUGUAUGGUACAAAUACCUAUAGCGAUACUGCAGAUUGAAAUAUCUAUACAAUUCUACUUAAACUAUGCAAUAUGCUGCAAUUAUUUACUGCUUUACGCGCAAUUUUAUCUAAGUGGACCUCAUACAUCUCGUAGUAUAUUUAAGGCGUAUCGUAUAGGCAAUUAUAAAUAAUUUUUAAGACCUUUUUUAACCACAAUAAUCAGUCGACUUGAGAAUAAUAAUUUUUAAUUAUUUAAUAAUUAUAAGUUGAAUUCACUUUAAAAUAAUUUUACAAGUAUAUAUCAGUAAUCCCGUAUUACAUAAUUUUAUCAUCUAUUUAUUAUGUGUUGUAACGUGAUAUAAUUUUUUCAAAACCGUGCAAAACUGAAAGAAUAAAAAGAUAGAUACUUAUUAUAUAUUUAAGGUUGGUACUUUUCAAAGCAAAUUCAGAUGUAAAACAUUAAGUAAUAAAAUAUUUUACAAUUCGUGGCGUUUUCCAAUAAAUGCAUUAUGAAGGAAUCUAAAAAAGAAAAAUAUAGAGUUGUUACGCAUUUUUUGUUUUUAUCCAGAUUAUUGGGAGAUGAGGGAAUGUAGUAAAUAAUAAAACAAUAAUGGAUGGAUUGCAGACUGUUAUUCUAUGCCUAACCCGACAAUAUGCGAAUAUUCAAAUGCCGGAUUCAAAAAAGCCAAUUUGUAUUCAAUACACCGAGACUACUUGUAACUCUGCUGAAUUCUAUAUUACACAUUUCAAGAAUGAAUUAUUAAAUAAAUAUUCAUAGCCGUAUUUGUAAUCCAACAGAUAAGGGGAGAGGAAGCUACGAGCAUUAUAAACCCUAAAUUUCCUUUUACAGCGCAUGUCACUGUUUUCUUUAUUUUUUUGUGUACAUAAGGCUAUUUCGAUUGUUUCGUUCGGAAUUUUUUUUUACCACGCGAAAAAUCAUCGGAUAUCAUCUGCACGUCCUAAGCGAAACCGUAUUAACAUUAUUAUUAUCUCGUCGAUCUUGCAUUGCGUAGCGGUUGAGAGGAAUCGUUCGUUAAUUCAAAUAACGAAUGAAUAAAUACGUAUAUAUAUAUAUAUAUAUCAUAAAAUAUGUAGAACAAUUGUUCUGCGCGGUCUGCUGUCACCGAAUCGUUAGCAGCGGAUGUUUUUAUUUUUUUUUAUUAUGAUUAUGAUUAUUAUUAUUUUUAAUCAUCCAUCGUUCUCCGAGUGAUGCAACGAUGUAACGAUGUCUCGAACGGAUCUGGCACGCAGACUGACGUACAUCAGUAAUAUAAUACAAAACACACACAUACACUUGCACACACACUUUUUACGAUAAUAAUAAUGUAAAAUGUAUAUAUAUAUAUAUUUCUUUUAUUUAUAUAUACCUAUAUAUACUCGCGCAGUGCCGACGACAACAAAGCGCAUCGAUUGUGCAGUGUGGCCGUCGUCUGCCGUCUGCCGACUCCGAGGUCUAGAAAUAGCUCGAAACUGUGUCCGGCCGACCGUUCCGCAGUCCAUACACAGAGAUAUUUAUCGUCACCUGUGACGUUAAAAAAAAAAAAAAAUAAAUAAAUAAAUAAGUUAAAAAGAUUUCGUUUCAAUAAUAUUAUAUUUUAUCAUUUCCGGCCGUCUCUUCGAAAACUUCCGAACGUGUAUUAUUAAAUUGGUUUUUUUUUUUUUUUUUGGCGGCGACGGGUCAAAUUCGAUAUCGCAUCGUAUCUUAGGUAUUAUUAUUAUUUUUAUUCUCUCUCUCUUUCUCUCUCACUCUUCUAACGGAUCUCAUAUACAUACGCCACGUGAGUUUGCGGGGUACUCGUUUGCGAUUAGAAUCUAUCGUUGGCAUUUCGAAUUGGCUACGAGAACAUUUUGGCCCGUGACUUCAGGGCGUUCGCUGCUAUUAUUAUACAGGUAGAAGACGGCGAAGAAGGUCAAGCGACACACGCUAAUAUCUAUACUGUUGUGUGUACACUGUCUUAGACUCACUGUAUACCUACUGUUGUAUAAAUUACAAGCUUCGCGAGUUAAAUACCAUCUCAUAUUAUUAUUAUGGCGGUUAUUUCGGUUUUUAUACGUUAUUGGUUAAGCUAUGAUAAUAUUUUUUGUAAUAUUAUCAAUAAUAUAUUUACGGCUGCAUUUAUUCGCUUAAACCGACGAUGUAUGUUGAAAAUAACUAAAAUAUGCACAUGUAAAAAUGUGCUUGUUUAUAAACCGAAUUGAUUAUGAACAGCAGAGCUCCAUGCCACUAGAGUCGAAUUCCUCUCCCCUCAACUAUUUUGUAUUGAAGAAAUAUUCUUUGUAAAACAAUAACAUAGGUAACUGAAUACUAUAAUAUAUAAUACAAUUAUACUUUCAAUAAAUAUGGGGAAAUUUUAGUGUAAAAAAUGUAUUUCAUUAAAUGGUCUGUAGUAAUGUUCACAAUAAAAAAAAUUAAAAACACCCUACUUCCGCUACAAUAUAGAUUGAAAUUGAACCAGUGUUAUAAAAAUUUGAUCCACUUAUAAAACAACUAGAAUUCCAGAGUUUGAGAUCAAAUAUCGUACAGAAGAAGCCUUUAAAAGUAUUCAAAAGUAAACGAAAAAAGAUAUGUGUAAUAACUGACACAAUACAGUGCUAUAAUAUAGUAGGGAUAAUAUUAUAGGCUCAAUUUUCAUGAAAAAUUCGAGUCACAAAAAUAAUACACAUGCGUAUUUACAUUACGAAAAUACGAAAAUACACGUUUAUAUUAUCACUAAACCACGAAAAACGGAAAGGAGAACGAUAGCCAUUUUGACGAUUUCUGUUUUACUGCAUUUUCAGGGUAUAAUCACUCGAUUUUAAUAUUUUUGCGGGGUUAGUAAUAUUUCUAAAAAGAAAAACAUACAUGUGUGGUAAUUCUAUUCGAGCAAAUAAAAUAUUAUAAUAUCCGUUGAAUAGAUAACAGGUACCUAUAUUAUAGUAUUUGACUUUGCCAACGUAUGACGUUGACAUUAUUAUAGUGUCAUAUUAUUUCGUAACCAAUCAUUGUCGUUUUGUCUGUAUAAUACUGUAUAUUGUAUACUUAGUUUCGGCCUGUACUCGUGUAUUUUUUUUUUUAUAAAUUACGGCAAAGAUAUUUCCCGCGCAAUUAUGAAUCUUUUUUUAAACGCCAACGUUUCCGGGGUACACUAUUGGAUACCUAUAUAUUAUACGAGAAUUACAUUAUAACGUCUGUCGUCCGAUACAAAAACCUACAGCAGUUGCAGUGAUUAUAAUAUUAUUGUUUUAAACUGAUAGGUACAGGUAUAGGUGGUACUUGUCUAAUUUUGUGAUAAAAAAAAAAUUACGUAUUAUUUUUAAAUUAAGUACGGGAACGUCGUGAGUGUUUUUGUCCGGCUCGUUUGAGUAUAAUAUAUAAUUGACGCGACGAGUAGUAUUGUAAAACACGAAGCUCUAAUAUUAUACGUUAAGAAUAAUGAAAAGAAAAAAAAAAUUAAAUUUGAUCGAUAAAUAUUCUAUUAUACAGUUUGUAGUAUACGCAUAAUAAUGUCACUCGAUCAAUAAUUACCACCGGCCCUGCUACCGUACAUACACAGGAGACAUUUAUAAUAAAUGUCACGCGUCGUCGUCCUCGUGAUCCUGUAUGUAAUACGCGUUCAAGUGUUUACUUAUAUUACAUAUGUAUGUACGUACAUAGUGGACACACAAUACCUAACCCUAUACGGUUGUAUUAUCGGGGGUCGGGACCCCUCUGGGUCGAGAACCUAACAACUAACAAGACUAACCAUUUUCGUAUAUAGGUACUGCAGUAUAUACGUCAUAUAUUCUUAUGGUAAUUGUAUACCGCACUUGUCUCUUUUGUCCAUUUCAGCGUACAUUAUAACUGCCCCGGUCGCACGGGUGCGGAUUUCCGGUUGUACAUCAUUAGACCGGACGGGCGUGUUUAACUAUAAUAUAAUAAUAAUAUUAUUAUGUGCACACACAGCCAAUAAUAAUGUUCUGUGUAUUUUUAUGUAUCUAUAAUACGCAUUAAAUGGACAACAUCGGGCGAUCGUAUUCACGCUAGAAGAAGCUAUCCGGGAGAGGGGAUGGGCGACGUUUUGCAAUUUUUUCGAUGUAGACAGGGCUCAAAGUUAUAUCCGAAAAACGGCCAGCCAAUGAGACAAGGAUAUUUUAUAUAUAUAUAAGGAAAAAAAAUGCAGGAUGGUUAUCGAAUCACACUAUUUACCCGAAUCAAAGGGACGAAUUGCACUCAGGUCAAAAAUAGAUAUUAGACAAACUGUACUAAGGGUGAAAAUAUAUAUAUUUUUUAAAUUAAAUACUGUCGUAUAAGUUGUGUAAACAUAUAUAUUUUUACUGCUGUCAGAGUAUUAACAUCGUUUUAUUAAAGAUUGUAUAAUUUGCGUUAAAGUUAGAAAAAAUAACAUUAGUUAUUUUUUAUACUCUGUUUCUUUUAGACAGUACGGUUCUAUAUAAUAAUUAUUACCUUUUAAAAUCACUUUCUUUUAAUUUUCUGCAAAAAAAAAUUUAAUUUAAAUAAUAAUAAUAAUAAUUUAACAGCUUCAAAAAAUUGUUCUUAUCAUUUAUAUCGUAAUUUUUACCGCAUAUAACUUGUCACUUAUCAAUAUCAUAUUUCUUAUCAGUUAAAUAUGUUAACAAUGACUUAUAAUUGUUGAGCGGGGUUGAAAAAAAUAAUUGUUUAACUAUUUUAAUUAUGAUGCGUGAUAACUGUAGAAACGCGAGCGUGGCAAAUAUUUUCAUACAAAUGCAAAUUAUUUAUUUGUGAGAAAAAAAUCAGGUCGGUGAUACGUGGAGGGACGCCAAAAUUUAAAAAUUAUCCAAAAUAGGUCACGUAUUGUGUACAGUUUGAAAACCUUUGACUACCCUACUACUAGAUACUAAUCUUAUAACAUUAUUAUAGUACCAUAUGUAUAGAAAAUCUAGGAACUUACAUUUUUUUUUUUUUUAAGUAUAUACGUAUCAAAUGCUCAAAUUUAUUAAAAUCCAAUAGAGCUCUAGUUCGAUAAACGGUACCGGUAAAUUUUAUUAAAUCAUUAGCGAAAACAGCCAACUAGAUACAUGCGAAAUUCAAAAAUAUACGCUCAGGUUAUUUACGUGAUCCGCAACCGAUCCCGCAGAGAAAUCUUUUGAGGAUAUAAUAAAAUAUACGCCCGACGGGAUGUGAACGGUUUACGGGUAAAGAGACUCGUGGACUUGAGCCAAUUCGCUCGUAUAUAUCUAAUAAAAAUAUCGGCUUGACUAAAAUGCGGUUUAUACGCCGUGCGAAUUAUGUAGUUGGCAUUUAAACGCUACAGCAUCGUUUAUCUGUCCGACUGCAAUGCGAAACAAUAUUAAAGUAUCGCAGCGUUUUGAACGAAUUUGGGCGCGAGAUUUUCUGGGCGGAUCCACGCAAAGGUUUAUGUGGAAGAAGCGGUUUUUGUUCACCAUGUCGAAUAGCUAACAAUAGUAAUUAUUGUUAUAGUUUUGGGGGAUUCCCGGGGGGAAAAAAACGACACUUUGGCCGCGUUUCGUCAGUAUAUAAUACCAUAAUAUCAUUGUUCUUCUUCUUCAUGACUUCUGCCUUUAACACCUUAUCGUUCAGCAUAUCUGUCUCCGAUUCUAUUCUACUCAAAGUUUUACUUUUUGACAUUCUUUUCUACCCGAUCUUUCCACCUUAGUCUUUGGUGUCCUAGCGGUAUUUUCACCUAUGGGUCAUUUUCUAGUACUAUUCUCAGAAGCGAUCUUUUUCCUUUAAGCCACACGUGCCCAGCCUGGACGAGUCGUUUUUUCGUAACAGCCUUCACAAUUCUCGGGCUUUGAAAUAAUUCUUAGAGUUCUCAAGUUUUUUUUUUUUUGAUUUCUCUAAAAAAUAUCAAAUAUUUACAACUUUGGACGGACCGUGUAUUUUUUUUAUUAAUCUCUUUUCAAAAACAACCUCACCUAGUGAAUUUUUGUCCGUCUUCCGCAGUGUCCGAGUUUCCGACCCAUAAAUUAUUGCCGGGGUUUUAUUAACGAAAGUAGGGUAUUGUUUUAAACAAUUGUAAUAAUAAAUGCGUAAACGCGGUUUUCCUUUAUUACGCGACGACGUUCGCGUCGGGCGAACGUUUAUAUUAUCAUUCAGCCGACGUCUAUCGCUAUUCGCUGUCCCUGUCAACGGCGGCGGCGCGUUCGGUUUGGAUUUAAAAUCUUUUUGCCUUUUUUUUUCCCAAAUCACGUAACGGGAACAGUUUUAUUCUUUUCGACUCGAAUUGAAUUGCUACAAGCUUGGGGUUUUUUUUUCACUGUUUAAAUUAUGAUUAUAUUUAUUAUAUACCUUUGAGCGAAGUCGACAGCGCCUAAUUGCUAAAUCCAUUAAGCGUUUGUACGCGCCCGGCGAAUCUCUGCCGAACUGUCACCAAAAACUAACGCGUGGUGUUUCCGUUAGAUUUUCGGUCACUGCUCGAGCGUAGUAAUUAAAAUUAAAAAAAAAAAAACUAUUGCGUUGUUAUUUCAUUUUAAAAAAAACGUUAUUUAGAUGUAUAGUUUUACUGAGAUAUGUUCUAUUUUAUUUUUUUUUCUACAAUUUUUGGUUAAAAAAUAUCCCCAAAAUCGAACAUGAAAAAUAAUAAAGUAUAGAUAUUUAUUUGAAAAAACAAAAAAAAAACUUAUUACAAAAUGACGACGUAUAGGUUUUUUUCAUUUGGUUGCCCGAAUCUUUCGAACGUUUUUCCGGCGCUGCCUUUAGACACGAUGACUUAUUAAUGUCAUAAUAAAUAUGAAUCUUAGGCUAUUUGCAUAUUAUUUUUUAAAGAUUAAAAAAAUCAUAAUAAUCAAACAUAAACACUGUUUAUCAUGUAAGGAAUCUAAAUCCUAAAUUUUAUUUUACACAUUUUACAGUUUUUACUUUUUAGAUCAUAUUUUAACUUUUAAGUGUUAUACAAGGACAUACUCUCAUAUCUUAUCUUGUUAUAUGCCGCGUAUAAUACAUGCUUUUACAGAUUUAAAUUGUUCAAAAUUACUGAUAUGUGAUAUUAUAUAUUCGAAUAGACUGUCGUAAAAAAGUUAAUUUAGUUAUAAUGUUAAGUUUGAUUAAUAACUUUUAAAUCAUUCAUCUCAAAACACAACGUAUUUGCACAAAUACCACUGAUAAUUAAAAAAAAUUAUAAUAAUAACGAAUUAGUUAUUUAUCAAGUUUUAAGUAUACAAUUCCAAUAAAAACAUAUUUCAGUGCAUAUAUGAUCGAUUUUCAAGCCGUAUUUACAUAAUUUGCAGAGUUAGGAAUCCGUAACAUUAAUCAUGUCCGGAUUAAGGAGAAGUCUAGAAACGGCCACGGCUUCCGGGCCACCAGACUUCCAGGACCUCAGUUUUUGCCACCGUAUGUUUCUUUAUACUAAAAACCCAAAAACAUACAAUGACAUAAUAAUAUGAUUCGCUUCGAACGUAAAUGUUUAAUCUUUGUAAUUUGAUAUUUUAAUAUUUUUUCGUUGCUCAAUGAUGAAUUGUUAGUAUUAUUAUACGUAAUAAAUAUAGUACUAGUAACUUUGUUAAAAAUAGUAUAUAUUUAUUUAUUUGUAAAAUACUCGUGGCUUUUCGAAUCGAGAUCCGAACGACGUCUAUAUGCCAUUUAUUGUUACCGUUUUUGAAAAUUCUAUGAUAUCGGUCUUACAACGAGAAGUUAAUUAUCAUCGAAAAGUUCGAUCCCGGAGGCCACUAAACGUCUUGAUCCGGGCUAAUCACAACAACCGAAUCCGAUUAUCGUGUGACGCAUACGACUAGUGCGCCACGUGUCCGCACACAUCGUCACACGCACCGACGUCGUAAUACGCGGCGGCGUCAGCGGGUAUACCAUUGUUUUGGGUGCUCGGGCACAACAAUAUUGUUUCCAGCAAUCAUUAUCAUUAUUAUAUCUAUCUCGAUGUUGACGGUUGAUGAUGAGACGACGACGAUCGGGGUCCGGCGCAAAUAAUUGAACAUUAUUAUUGUAUUAAUCGUCGUUACCGCACCGUCCUAUAAUACCUACCGAUAAUAAUAUUGUAUACACACGUUCGUAUAAAGGACGGGAAGAAACGAGAGGAAACAAAAAAAAAAAAAAAAAUCGAAAUUAAUUUUUUGUUUCACCGAGGAGCGUGCGCGCACCGCCGCGGUUUCAUUAAAAAUCGUGAGUGCGCAUUAUAAUAAUAAUUUUAUGCGCGUGCGUCAACGAUUACAGUAAUAAUGCAGUUUAAACUCGCGCUAACUAUGCGACGCGGAUCAUGUUAUACCGUGUAUAUUUUUCAAAUUGACUAGACGUUUCGAUCGAGGGUGGGGGCUGGUUAGGGCGGAGGGCGAAGGGAGGACUUUUUAAUUAGUACGAAAGCGCAGCCACCGCGCAUAAAACGUCGGAAAAAUGUUCUCUUAUAAUAUCGAUGGUGGUGUUAAUAUAAUGGACAAUAAUAAUUAUUAUAAUAUCGUCAUCGAUACGCAACGGACUUGGGUAAAUUGCUUUCUAAAAUUAUUUACUUUACAAGAACAGUUUUCGGAAACAUAUACAUAAAACAUAAUAUGACUGAGUUCGGAUGACUUACGGAAAAUGUAGAUAUUAUACAAUGAUAAUAAUAUGUAUUUAUACGUGAUAAGGAUAACACGAUGUUAUGAAUAAUAUCAAAAAAUGUUUUAUAUCCGGUACCGUCGUAUGGAAAUCGUGUUAUCUUUUGAAUAAAAAUUAAUUGCUAAAAAUGAAAACGAAGCAAAUAUUAUAAAUAAAAAAAAAAAAAUUAGAAGAUAAGUUUCUAAAACUUGAUUAAGCACCUACCCCCCAAAACAAGUCUUGGUCAAGUAAAGACUAUACAUAAUCAAUAUUAUAUUAUUAAACCCCUCCUACAAAAUGUUUAGUCCGAUACGGACUAAAUAAUAUUAUAAUUUGAUGCGGUAACCGUGGUAUGUAUAAUGCAGACGCAGUAAUGAUGAUGAUAACAUAGAGUAACCGCGAUCGCGUUGAAGUCGAACGCUUUGAACAAUUGAAAUACAAACGCGGUACAAAAUAUCGAUUAAUUUUUCCGACGUUUUUACAGCGUGAAAAUUAAUUAGCAAAUCGCGCGGCAGAGAUUUUCGUUUUAUAGAUAAAACUUUUUUUUUUAAUUUAAAGUCUGAAAAUAUGGAUUAUCAUUAAAAAGAACGGCAGCGGUAGCGUCGUUUGCAUAAUAUUAGGUGGGUGCCUAUACAUUCGACCGUGGACUUAAAUUUACGAUUAUUUUUUACGCCAAAAAACACGCGCAAAUUAUUAUGGUUCCAAGUUUUUCGGUUAUACUACAAAAAUAAUUAAAAUGACAUAAAAAAAAACUUUGAUUUGUACUAGUGUAUUAUUUUAUACAUUAUACUGUUGGUGCCGCCUUGUAUUUUACAAAUCGAUAUCGUAUUUCCGUAUCCGCCUCGCCUCACUUACCUAGUACUAUUAAAAUGUGUAAAGCAAUGCGUGUUUUUCCAUAGAAAGGUACCA